rnacentral:rRNA from 1 species
AUUGAACGCUGGCGGCAGGCCUAACACAUGCAAGUCGAGCGAGCGGCGGACGGGUGAGUAAUGUCUGGGAAACUGCACGAUGGAGGGGGAUAACUACUGGAAACGGUAGCUAAUAACGCAUACCAUCAGAUGUGCCCAGAUGGGAUUAGCUAGUAGGUGGGGUAACGGCUCACCUAGGCGACGAUCCCUAGCUGGUCUGAGAGGAUGACCAGCCAGACUGGGAGUGAGACACGGUACAGACUCCUACGGGAGGCAGCAGUGGGGAAUAUUGAGCAAUGGGUGCAAGCCUGAUGCAGCCAUGCCGCGUGUGUGAAGAAGGCAUUCGGGUUGUAAAGUGCUUUCAGUGGGGAGGCGUUACCCGCAGAAGAAGCACCGGCUAACUCCGUGCCAGCAGCCGCGGUAAUUC